GCCUCCAUAGCUCAGUGGUAGAGCGUCAGUCUUGUAAACUGAAGGUCUGUAGAUCGAUCCUGCAUGGAGGCA
rfam:Triticum aestivum genome assembly, contig: Triticum_aestivum_CS42_TGACv1_scaffold_362748_4DS